GGGGAAUAUUGCACAAUGGGCGCAAGCCUGAUGCAGCAACGCCGCGUGAAGGAGGAAGGCCUUCGGGUCGUAAACUUCUGUCCAAAGGGAAGAAGAAUGACGGUACCUUUGGAGGAAGCCCCGGCUAACUACGUGCCAGCAGCCGCGGUAACACGUAGGGGGCGAGCGUUAUCCGGAAUUACUGGGCGUAAAGAGUGCGUAGGUGGCUUUGCAAGCGUAGGGUAUAAGGCGACAGCCCAACGGUCGGUGGCCCCGCGAACUGUAAGGCUUGAGGACAGGAGGGGAAGGCGGAAUUCCUAGUGUAGCGGUGAAAUGCGUAGAUAUUAGGAGGAACACCAGUGGCGAAGGCGGCCUUCUGGACUGUAACUGACACUGAGGCACGAAAGCGUGGGUAGCAAAC
rnacentral:rRNA from 1 species